rnacentral:rRNA from 1 species
CCUACGGGUGGCAGCAGUGAGGAAUAUUGGUCAAUGGACGAGAGUCUGAACCAGCCAAGUAGCGUGAAGGAUGACUGCCCUACGGGUUGUAAACCUCUUUUAUAUGGGAACAAAAAAGGGUAUGCAUACCCUCUUGUAUGUACCAUAAGAAUAAGGAUCGGCUAACUCCGUGCCAGUAGCCGCGGUAAUACGGAGGAUCCGAGCGUUAUCCGGAUUUAUUGGGUUUAAAGGGUGCGGAGGUGGAGUGUUAAGUCAGGUGUGAAAGUUUGCGGCUCAACCGUAACAUUGCAGUUGAAACUGGCUGUCUUGAGUGCAGUAGAGGUGGGCGGAAUGCGUGGUGUAGCGGUGAAAUGCUUAGAUAUCACGAAGAACGCCGAUUGCGAAGGCAGCGCACCGGACUGCAACUGACGCUGAUGCUCGAAAGUGUGGGUAUCAAACAGGAUUAGAUACCCCUGUAGUC